rnacentral:rRNA from 1 species
AUCCUACGGGAGGCAGCAGUAGGGAAUAUUGCUCAAUGGGGGAAACCCUGAAGCAGCAACGCCGCGUGGAGGAUGAAGGUUUUCGGAUUGUAAACUCCUUUUGUUAGAGAAGAUAAUGACGGUAUCUAACGAAUAAGCACCGGCUAACUCCGUGCCAGCAGCCGCGGUAAUACGGAGGGUGCAAGCGUAACUCGGAAUCACUGGGCGUAAAGAGCGCGUAGGCGGGAUAGCAAGUCAGAUGUGAAAUCCCCUGGCUUAAACAUAGAACUGCAUUUGAAACUGUUACUCUCGAGUAUGGGAGAGGG